GGUAGGGUGGCCGAGUAGGUGGCAAGUUGUAGCCUUGCUUACGGGGCCGCGCCCCCCC
rnacentral:tRNA from 1 species